UAGGCUGUAGUCUAAUGGAAUGACAUCUGCCUGUCAAGUGGAAAGUGUGAGUUCGAAUCUCACCAGCCUUA
rnacentral:tRNA from 1 species